UACGAAGGGGGCUAGCGUUGUUCGGAAUCACUGGGCGUAAAGCGCACGCAGGCGGAUUUUUAAGUCAGGGGUGAAAUCCCGAGGCUCAACCUCGGAACUGCCUUUGAUACUGGAGAUCUUGAGUCCGGAAGAGGUAAGUGGAACUGCGAGUGUAGAGGUGAAAUUCGUAGAUAUUCGCAAGAACACCAGUGGCGAAGGCGGCUUACUGGUCCGGAACUGACGCUGAGGUGCGAAAGCGUGGGGAGCAAACAGG
rnacentral:rRNA from 1 species